rnacentral:rRNA from 14 species
AUGAGUUUGAUCCUGGCUCAGAAUGAACGCUAGCGAAAAGCUUAACACAUGCAAGUUGAAUGUUUUUUAAACAUAGCGAACGGGUGAGUAACGCGUAAGAAUCUACCAAAGAAUUUGUGUUGAUCACAAAUAGUUGUAAAGAUAUGUAGUAUCGUUUUUUGAUGAGCUUGCGUAAGAUUAGAUAGUUGGUGGGGUAAAGGCCUACC